UACGAAGGGGGCUAGCGUUGUUCGGAAUUACUGGGCGUAAAGCGUGCGCAGGCGGCUUCUCAAGUCAGGGGUGAAAGCCCAGAGCUCAACUCUGGAAUUGCCUUUGAGACUGAGUGGCUUGAGUACGAGAGAGGUGAGUGAAUUCCCAGUGUAGAGGUGAAAUUCGUAGAUAUCAGGAGGAACACCAAUGGCGAAGGCAGCUCGCUGGGACGUGA
rnacentral:rRNA from 1 species